AGAAAGUGGAAGUUAUCUGCCAGGAAGGUGGAGAGAUACCAGCGCAGGUGGAACCUGAGGCAAAAGGUGAAUGAGGAGAGAUACCAGCGCAGGUGGAACCUGAGGCAAAAGGUGAAUGAGGUGGAGAGAUACCAGCGCAGGUGGAACCUGAGGCAAAAGGUGAAUGAGGAGAGAUACCAGCGCAGGUGGAACCUGAGGCAAAAGGUGAAUGAGGAGAGAUACCAGCGCAGGUGGAACCUGAGGCAAAAGGUGAAUGAGGAGAGAUACCAGCGCAGGUGGAACCUGAGGCAAAAGGUGAAUGAGGAGAGAUACCAGCGCAGGUGGAACCUGAGGCAAAAGGUGAAUGAGGUGGAGAGACACCAGCGCAGGUGGAACCUGAGGCAAAAGGUGAAUGAGGAGAGAUACCAGCGCAGGUGGAACCUGAGGCAAAAGGUGAAUGAGGAGAGAUACCAGCGCAGGUGGAACCUGAGGCAAAAGGUGAAUGAGGAGAGAUACCAGCGCAGGUGGAACCUGAGGCAAAAGGUGAAUGAGGAGAGAUACCAGCGCAGGUGGAACCUGAGGCAAAAGGUGAAUGAGGAGAGAUACCAGCGCAGGUGGAACCUGAGGCAAAAGGUGAAUGAGGAGAGAUACCAGCGCAGGUGGAACCUGAGGCAAAAGGUGAAUGAGGAGAGAUACCAGCGCAGGUGGAACCUGAGGCAAAAGGUGAAUGAGGUGGAGAGAUACCAGCGCAGGUGGAACCUGAGGCAAAAGGUGAAUGAGGUGGAGAGACACCAGCGCAGGUGGAACCUGAGGCAAAAGGUGAAUGAGGUGGAGAGACACCAGCGCAGGUGGAACCUGAGGCAAAAGGUGAAUGAGGAGAGACACCAGCGCAGGUGGAACCUGAGGCUCCAUGGAAUUCCAGAGCAGGCCUGUGAGGACAUCAAAUGCAGAGUUGUUGACAUCUGUGGAGCUGUCAUUCCCAAAUCAAAAGCCAAACUUCAGGAAAAUGUAGACAUCGUCCAUCGUUUGGGAAGACUUAAGGAUCAAGACAAGAGACCGAGGACAACCAUCAUCCGGUUCACCAACAGAUCUACACGGGAUCUUCUUUGGAGGCAAGCAAAGAAUUGUGAAUUCCUCAUCAAACAGAAAUGGAGGUUCACAGAGGAUCUGACCUCAGCAGACAAAGUGACGAGAGAAACUGUGGCCGAUGGUGGCAGGGAAAACUGCAUUUUUUUUUUAUCGGCACAAGAGUGA
rnacentral:lncRNA from 8 species